rnacentral:tRNA from 1 species
GGAUAUAGCUCUGUGGGAGAGCGCAUGCUUAGCACACAUGAGGUCCUGGAUUCAAUCCCCAGCACUUCCA